ACUGGCAUUUGCUCAAGAACACCAGAAUUGGCAAGUCCACCACUGGCGCCCUGUACUUUUCACAGACGAGAGCAGGUUCACCCUGAGCACCUGUGAUAGACGUGAAAGAGUCUGGAGAAGAUGAGGAGGACGUUAUGCUGUCUGCAGCGUGGUUCAACAUGACAGGUUUGGUGGUGGGUCAGUGAUGGUCUGGGGAGGCAUAUCCAUGGAGGGACGCACAGACCUCUACUGAGGAACACAGUUUUUUUUAAGAACUGAACUGUGUCCUGUAAAGAAAGAACAAAAAAAAAGGAAUGAUUAGGCUACUGGUCCAAACAAAAAUAUCAAAACAAAGGGAAAUGGAGCCUUGGCCAAACAUAACAUAACUCAGGGAGUCUGCUUACCCAGCCACCUUGACCGUCGGAGUCAGCAACUCCCUGUUAAGGCUGCCUAACAGAAAUCUACCUAUUCAAAAGAAACAAAGCAAGCCCCCAAAUAAAGUCUGCCAAGGCCCAUCCCCAAAACUAACAUAAAAAACCCAGCAGUGUAAGACUGCCGAGGAAACAAAGAAGAAAAAGAGAACCAAACAAACCAGCACCACUUUAACAUAAAGACCUCCUGCUCUGCUCCGCUCCGCUCCCUGCCUUGCGAGCCACGACUUCCCAUUGAUUUUCUUCUAGAAAGGAUCGAUGAUCAUCAUGGUGGUGGUGGUGGGGGAGUUCAAGAGUGGAUUCAAGAACAUCAGGCUCAGCUGCAGGUUGCUUAUCAGGGAGCCCAGGAGCGCCUGAAAGCUUCUGCAUCCAGAAGGAAGCAUAACCAUGACCAGAAUGCCAAAGACUCCCCACUGACAGAAGGUCAGCAAGUUUUGGUCAGAGAUUUUUAGUGCCAGAGGCCGCCACAAAAUUCAGGAUUUAUGGAGUUCUGUGAUCCACAAAGUCUUGAAAGCACCAGGUGCCGGUGGGUCGGUGUACCCAAUUGCUCCGGUGGGGAAUUGACGUAGACUUGGUUAUUCUCAGAGAGCAUCAUCAAGCAGCCACUCCUGAACCACCUGUUUUCCCAUCAGAAGGGGCCUCUGGGAUUUCUCCUCCGGCAUCACCUCUGUCGCCCAACGGGAUUGUUGAUGUGUCUGGAACUGCCCCUCAGAGUAGCUUUCCUGAUCAGUCAGUGCCACCCGUUGCAUCACCCAUCCGUUUGGCUGCACCAGAACAAGGGGUUCGUAGAUUAAACCGGUCCACUGCGGGCCAACAUCAGAAUCCUCAUCACAUUCCAAGAUGCUCUCUUGUGCGCACGUUGCUUCCCUCCCCGCAAUAGGGGAGUAAGUGCUGCUGCUUUGCCGCUGUUUUUAUUUCCUGGUUCCGGUUCGGAUCUCCCCUCUUCUCACGCCGCGUCUGGACGGAGUUACAGUCUAUGAGUUGGACGGACACUUGCAGCGACGGUGGAGACCGUGUGUGCAUUGGCAUCUGGCUGGACUUUGGACUGUCCUCCUGACACCUGUUGUUCAGCGUUAGCCGUCUGGCGGCUUACCUGGCGGCUUGAUGUGAAAUCAUCUUUUAAGAGUGUUUUAAUUGUGUGGUUUUUUUAAAUUGUUUUAUCACUUGUGUUCAAGGAGGUUGGAGCUCGAGGUGGACGGCUGCACUGGUGGCGGGUUCCUGUGUGCUGUGUGACCUUCUAUCACGUGUGCAGUGCAUCACACUCCUGGGUGUUUGCUUUUGUUUAGUUUUCUUUUUUGCUUUAGUUCUAGCCAUCUCGGUAAGCUCCUCCUCCUGAACAUUUUAUUGGUUUAAAUUAAAGUAUUUCUAUUAUUGCUUUUAGAUUGGAUCAUAAUAAAUUGUAUUUUAAAAACAGA